rnacentral:rRNA from 1 species
AUUGAACGCUGGCGGCAUGCUUUACACAUGCAAGUCGAACGGUAACAGGGAGCUUGCUCCGCUGACGAGUGGCGAACGGGUGAGUAAUGCGUCGGAACGUGCCGAGUAGUGGGGGAUAACGCAGCGAAAGUUGUGCUAAUACCGCAUACGUACUGAGGUAGAAAGUGGGGGACCUUCGGGCCUCACGCUAUUCGAGCGGCCGACGUCUGAUUAGCUAGUAGGUGAGGUAAAGGCUCACCUAGGCGACGAUCGGUAGCGGGUCUGAGAGGAUGAUCCGCCACACUGGGACUGAGACACGGCCCAGACUCCUACGGGAGGCAGCAGUGGGGAACUUUGGACAAUGGGCGAAAGCCUGAUCCAGCCAUGCCGCGUGUCUGAAGAAGGCCUUCGGGUUGUAAAGGACUUUUGUCGGGGAGGAAAUCCCCAGCGCUAAUACCGCUGGGGGAUGACAGUACCUGAAGAAUAAGCACCGGCUAACUACGUGCCAGCCGCCGCAGUAAAAC